rnacentral:misc_RNA from 1 species
CCGUCCGGCCCAGUCCCGCAUGUCCCAGGACAGUUGCGCCAAUCGCGUGGCCAGACCGAUGUCAGGAUUGCCUGCAUUGAUGCGGCGCUGAACCGUCGCGCCGAAGGCACGGGCGGUUUCCUGAAUGGCGAACAUCUGCGUGAGGUAAGUGGUCACCAAUUCUUUCGGGCGCUCGGUCAACGGCACCUCGACAGCGGCCAGUGCGCUCUUGCGCACCUUCAUCAGGCUGUCUUCCAGUUGCUG